CCACCACUGCUUUUCCACCACCAACUUCUAACCCUGGUGAAUCCUCAACUUGACCUCUAUGUGUGGUGACACCACCACCCUGGUAGAACCUAGUAGAACCUGGUAGAAUCUAGUAGAACCCAGGAGAACCCAGUAGAACCUGGUAAAGCUCUGUGGUGGGGAGGGCAAGCAGCAGGUAGGUCGUCCCGUAGGAAGUGGUGCAGUGAGUGUUGAGGUGUUGAGGCAGGUCAGCAGGUAGGUCGUCCUGUAGGAAGUGGUGCAGUGAGUGUUGAGGUGUUGAGGCAGGUCAGCAGGUAGGUCGUCCUGUAGGAAGUGGUGCAGUGAGUGUUGAGGUGUUGAGGCAGGUCAGCAGGUAGGUCGUCCUGUAGGAAGUGGUGCAGUGAGUGUUGAGGCAGGUCAGCAGGUAGGUCGUCCCGUAGGAAGUGGUGCAGUGAGUGUUGAGGUGUUGAGGCAGGUCAGCAGGUAGGUCGUCCCGUAGGAAGUGGUGCAGUGUGUUGAGGUGUUGAGGCAGGUCAGCAGGUAGGUAGCAGGUAUCAGGCCCACAUCAGACCGUGACAUAGCUAAUGACAUGGUGUCUUAGGGAGUGGAAAGCUGCCUAAGGAAAUGUUCAUAUGAGCAGAGCUAGGAUUGAAACCCCUAAACUGCCGUGUAAGAUGCUUUACUACAGGCCAAGCCCAGCCUCAGAUCACACUUUGUCCGCUGGGCUUUUACCUAAAUCAUGCAUUGAUGUCAUUUGGAAGUCUGGAGGACAGAGUUGUGUGUUGCAUAAGUCCUCAGACUUUCUGUGAGCUACUAGGUCUGACAGCCAUGCCAGAGAUCUAUGCAUAGUAUUCAUAACACUUCCAGGUCAGAGGUUAGAGUUUAGAGGUCAGUUGAUUCAGGCUCACACACUAAAUCUGACACCUGUCUAUCAAACUAGCCCUAACCCUACCUAACCCAGACCCUUAACCCUACCUGAGGGGCAGAGGUCAGGGUCAGAGAACACUGAGAAGACCUGUCAACCUCAACGUUCUGGGAGGAACAUCCACACAACCACCUCAUAACAUCUACACAAUCGUCACAGAACAUUCACACAACCAUCACAGAACAUUCAUACAAACAUCUCGUAACAUUCAUACAACCAUCUCAUAACAUUCAUACAACCAUCUCAUAACAGUCAUACAACCAUCACAGAACAUUCAUACAACCAUCACAGAACAUUCAUACAACUAUCACAGAACAUUCAUACGCCCAUCACAGAACAUUCAUGCGCCCAUCACAGAACAUUCAUACACCAUCUCAUAACAUCCAUACAACCAUCACAUAACAUUCAUACAACCAUCACAGAACAUUUACACAAAUUGUAAAAUUCCAUCCCACAGCCCACAGGCACACAGAUACAGCUAAACCAGACCAACUCAGACAGCUGACACAGAGUUAACUAAGUUAAUACAGAUCUGACUCAGGCAGGGGGACUGACAGACUAACGGAGUAAGGAAUGAGAGCUUGAGCCAGAGAUUCUCCAACUGCAGUAGGAUUGUAAAGCUAUAGGAUGUUGAUACAGGCGCCACUAGAAACCAUCUGACCCAAAUAUAGACCUUUUACAACCUGAUAAUGGAGCUCCUUUACACCAGGAGAGGAGGAGGAGGAGGAGAGGGGGAGAGGAAGGGGGGAUUCAGAGAACAGGGAAAUAUCAGAAGGGUGUAACCACUGACCUAUAUCAUGGAACAGAGAAGGGGUUCUAAGAGGCUGAUUGACAGCAGAGACCCGGGGGUGGAAACAGAGAGGGGGUUAGAACCAAUUACCUACAGGGUGGAAACAGAG